rnacentral:rRNA from 1 species
GCCUUCGGGAACUCUGAGACAGGUGCUGCAUGGCUGUCGUCAGCUCGUGUUGUGAAAUGUUGGGUUAAGUCCCGCAACGAGCGCAACCCUUAUCCUUUGUUGCCAGCGGUUAGGCCGGGAACUCAAAGGAGACUGCCAGUGAUAAACUGGAGGAAGGUGGGGAUGACGUCAAGUCAUCAUGGCCCUUACGAGUAGGGCUACACACGUGCUACAAUGGCAUAUA